AUACAAACAUAAUUCACUUAGAACACCACAGUAGUACAUGCUGACUAGUUUAACCAAUGUUAAAGAAGAUAGGAUGAGGGCUUAGGUAGACUGUUGAGCCUCAUCUGUGUAGUUUAGUGAUUUGUGGAUGGGAAGAAUAGAAACAUAGAAUGGAUGAGUCCUUUAUUGUCCCACAGUGGGGAAAUUCAGGAACAGCAUUAACGUAUGUAGGUUCAGCAGGACACUUAUUGGGUCUUGCGGGACUUGUAUGUCAAUCCAGGGUUCCAUAUAGAACUUUAUGUCUAAUAUGCCUUUGAAAUCAUUUAAAGUUAUCUGUAACACAUGAAUCAAAGCAUGUUAGACUUCCUCAUUGAUAGACAACAAUAGACCACAGAAGAGGAAAAAGAGGCACCUUAUCUGUCACAGAUAAGAAGAGAUAUACCUAUACCUAUACUUAUACUUAAAGCAACAAAAUGACCACAAAUUAUGUGGCUAAUAAUAAAACAAAUAAAUGUUAAGAUUUGGAACCUGACUUGAUCUGUUCAGGUUCAAACUGGUAAAACGUUUUCUUCCUAUGUAAAGAAACCCUGCAGAUUGCAUAGAGUCACUGACUGGCAGCAUAGCAAUAGUGGACAGUCACUAGCAUUGUCAUAAAACAAUUAAAUGUGGUUUACUGACCAUCAGAUUUCACUCUUCAAAGACUUUAUUCGUGAUAAUCAGAUUCAUUUAUUUUGUCUCACAGAAAUCUGGCUGCAGCAAGAGGAUUUUGUUCAUAUAAAUGAGUCAACUAAUUAUUCAAAAUUUCACAUUCCUUGAAGUACUGCAUGAAGAAGAGGAGUACCAACCAUCUUUCAGACAGAUUAUUCACUAACUAAGGUUAGGAAUCAGCCCUUCACUGCAAGAGCAUUGGUUGCUCAAUAAUUUACUAAUUAGACAUUAAAACUAGAAACAAAUCAAAACAUGGAUUCAGGAGCAGGUUUGAAUGGACGUUGUGAAAUAUCUACUUGCAUCUGAACAGCUAGAUCAGAUAUUUCUGUUCUAGCUGUGUACAUUUAAAAUCAUGUCAAAUAUACAUAAUUAGGUGUAAUGAUAAUCACAGUAAAUGAGUUUGCAAUCACGGUGCCUAAUUCUAUGGCCACUGAUUACUACUACUUGGCAUACAGUUUAUGAAGUCAUCAUGUACAGCUCUGAGUUAUGCAUGGUGUAUAUGGUAAUUGCUCUAUACAGCUGGUCUUCUUGCCACCACGACCCUCUGCGCCCAAAACACGUAAAGUUGGCAA